UCAAUAGCGCAUAUUAAAGUUGUUGCAGUUAAAAAGCUCGUAGUUGAAUUUCGGGAUCAAUUAAUUGGUCGUGCCUCGGUACGUACUGGUAUUUUUGGUUUCUCCCUUCUGACGAACCUUGAUGUCAUUAAUUUUGGUGUCUUGGGAAAUCAGGACUGUUACUUUGAAAAAAUUAGAGUGUUUAAAGCAGGCUCACGCUUGAAUACAUUAGCAUGGAAUAAUGAAAUAGGACGUUUGAUUCUAUUUUGUUGGUUUCUAGGAUCGACGUAAUGAUUAAUAGGGAUAGUUGGGGGCAUUAGUAUUCAAUUGUCAGAGGUGAAAUUCUUGGAUUUAUUGAAGACUAACUACUGCGAAAGCAUUUGCCAAGGAUGUUUUCAUUAAUCAAGAACGAAAGUUAGGGGAUCGAAGACGAUCAGAUACCGUCGUAGUCUUAACCAUAAACUAUGCCGACUAGGGAUCGGAUGAUGUUAAUUUUUUAAUGACUCAUUCGGCGCCUUACG
rnacentral:rRNA from 1 species